rnacentral:rRNA from 1 species
AAAAUAAUACAAACGGCGUAAAGCACGACUAAAUAAACCAGUCACACACUAGAAAAGAAAACCAAGCUGGGCUGUAAAAAGCCAUAAGCCACAAUAACCACAUCUAGCAUAAACAUACUCCACUCGUGAAAGUCAGGACACAAACUAAGAUUAGAUACCUUACUAUGCCUAACUGUAACACAACAAUUAAAUUACCAAUUGUUCGCCAAAUAACUACGAGUAAAAACUUAAAAUUUAAAAGACUUGACGGUACCUCACAACAACCUAGAGGAGCCUGUCCAUAACCGAUACCCCACGAUUAACCCAACCCCCUCUAGCCCAUAACAGUCUAUAUACCGCCGUCGCCAGCCUACCUUAUGAAAGAAAGAAAGUAAGCAAAACAGCCACACACUAACACGACAGGUCGAGGUGUAACUAAUGGGGGGGCCAAGAUGGGCUACAUUUUCUACCACAGAAAAUACGAAUAAACCAUGAAAAAGAAACUGAAGGAGGAUUUAGCAGUACACUAAGAACAUAAUACCUAUUCGAAACCAAUGCAAUGAGGUGCGUCACACCGCCCGUCAUCCCUGUUGACCAAACCAAACACUUCCAUAAA